GGAAAGGAGAGGGAGGAGAGAGAAGAGGAGGGAGAGGGAGAGAGAACAGAAAAACAAAGAUGGAAGUGUGUGCCAUUAGGAGGCUCUGAAAGAUUACUCCUGACGCAGCAAAACCUGAGAUGUUUUAUCUACAGGAUGGUGCGCCCCAGGAAAUCAAGAAACAACCACCUCUCCUCUCUCCCAUCACCUUACAAACCCAAGACCUGGCACACUGGGAAAAAUAAAAACAGAACCGGGCAAGAGAUUCUCAACGGUCCGUGAACUCCCGGUAGGAACUUGGCUAAAUAGAGUUGUUUCGGGUACAUGACAACUUGGCCUCUUCUGUGUUCUCCUGAAUGUAUAAUUGAUGUGGCCCAUCUGU
rnacentral:lncRNA from 1 species